rnacentral:misc_RNA from 1 species
CCAGAGAUGGCGGGCCCCCGCGCCCCCGUCCCCAACCCUUUGUUGACCUAACCCAUUUUGCCUCGGGGGCAGAGCGUCCGCCGCCGCCCCCGGAGGACCACCGAACGCUGUCUCUGUACGUCGGAGUAUUGAUUAAAUGAAUGA